AGGACGAACGCUGGCGGCGUGCUUAACACAUGCAAGUCGAGCGGAAAGGCCCUUCGGGGUACUCGAGCGGCGAACGGGUGAGUAACACGUGAGCAACCUGCCCUUAGCUUCGGGAUAGCUCCGGGAAACCGGAAUUAAUACCGAAUAUGAAUGCGGCUGACAUCAGCCAAAUUGGAAAGUUUUUCGGCUAGGGAUGGACUCGCGGCCUAUCAGCUAGUUGGUGAGGUAACGGCCCACCAAGGCGACGACGGGUA
rnacentral:rRNA from 1 species